rnacentral:lncRNA from 1 species
ACUUUCUGGUUGGAACCGAAUAGAGAGUUCAUAAAUGAACUUUCCCAUCCAAACAACAUUGUUUGUAAACUUCUAUAUGGCAAUAUAUAUCUUGCAUUCAUAAUGGAACACACUAAAGUCAUACUUUAAUGUUUCCAUCCAAAAUAUCUCUUUAGUCAUAAUAAAGAGAUAUCUGUUUAUCUCUUCAUUCAUAAUGAAGAAACAUCCAAUGAUGGAUUAGAUUCAUAAUCUAAUACAUUUACGCUUCCAUUACGUCACUUUGAUUCUUCCUCGAUCUUUGAGGAAUUUAUCCUUUAGUAUUUCUCAAAUACUUAAGGACUCACUUGACAGUUGCCAUGGUUCUGAUCCUGGGCUUGCACUGAUAUCAUCUUGUACCGUU